GAAAUGACAGCUUGUAACGUAAAUUUUAUUUGAAUUGAUCAUUCGUGAUUUCGGUUUUGUGUUUUCCCUUUAUACUAAUUUGAAAGUAUUGCAUAGUUAUAGUGGAAAAGAUUAAAUUCACAGUCUCUAUUUUAUUGCUGAGUGUUAAUUUACGUGUUUGCUGCAUAUAUUUACUAUUCUACUGGUCAAGGUUUAUAUCUUGAUCUCGUUAGAGGGUACUUGAGAGGAUAUGAAUACCUCACUCAACUAACUUUCUAUGGCUUAUUAGGCCAGGCUUCAACAAAACGGACAUUCAUCAUCAAUUUAACAUGGUUCACGAAGAGAAUGGCAAGGAAACCAUUGACACAGUGCAGGUGGCACUCCGUAUCAGGCCUCUUAUGCCGCAGGAGACGUCCCGUGGGUGUGAGGAGUGCAUAACCACCAUUAAUGGACAGCCGCAGGUCCAGAUCAAGGAUCUGGCAUUCACUUACAACUAUGUGUUUGCGCAACACAUCACACAGCAGGAGUUCUAUGAUACAGCCGUGAAGGGACUCAUCAAUAAAUUAUUUCAAGGGUACAAUGUCACAAUACUGGCGUACGGGCAGACAGGCUCGGGGAAGACCUACACCAUGGGCACCAACUACUCAGGGUCGGAGGGAGAUUGCUCCAGUCUUGGAGUGAUACCGCUAGCAGUGGCCGACAUAUUCGACUUCAUCGAGGCGCACGAAGACAAGUUCACAUUCAAAGUGACGGUUUCCUUCAUGGAGUUGUACCAAGAGCAGUGCUACGACCUGCUGUCGGGCAAGGAGCGCACGCACAGCGUGAUCGAGAUCCGCGAGGACGUCAACAAGGGGGUGGUGCUGCCGGGUAUAUCCGAGCUCCCGGUCGGCUCCACCACGGAAACGAUGAAGGUUCUGGAACAAGGGUCGUCGCGGCGGGUCACUGGUAGUACGGCCAUGAACCAGGCGUCCAGCCGCAGCCACGCCGUCUUCACCAUCGUCAUCGCCAAGGAGAGCCGCGCAGACAAGAACCUAGCGACAACCUCCAAGUUCCACCUGGUAGACCUGGCCGGGUCAGAGCGCAUCAAGAAGACGAAGGCUUCAGGCGAGCGACUCAAAGAAGGCGUGAAGAUCAACCAGGGUCUACUGGCAUUAGGCAACGUCAUAUCCGCCCUGGGGGAUGGCACUAACAGGAGCUUUAUAAGCUACCGGGACAGCAAGCUCACGCGCCUGCUGCAAGACAGUCUCGGCGGCAACUCGCUAACCCUGAUGGUGGCGUGCGUGUCGCCCGCCGACUACAACCUGGACGAGACCGUGUCCACGCUGCGCUACGCGGACCGCGCGCGCCGCAUCCGCAACAAGCCCGUCAUCAACCAGGACGCGCGCGCCGCCGAGAUACUGAGACUGAACAAUCUAGUCAACGAGCUCAGACUGCAGCUUUUGGGCAAACUGCCGACCCCCAGCGAACAGAACAACGAACAUCUACAAGAAGAACUAGAGAAAGAGAAGGCGAAAUACUCUGAACUACUCAAGAAACACAAACAAGUCACCGACUACUUGGGCAUGAUGCUUAUUGAGAACACCAAUUUGUGCGAAAAAGCUCUCUUAGCCGAGGCAGCCAAGGACAAAAUCGAACGUAAACUCAACGAGCUGACAGAACAAUGUAAUCAAACAAUCGAGAAUCUGAACACGAGUGAGAAAGUGGAAGACAAUGAAAUGCAGAGGACAUGCGUAGUGGACUAUCUCAAGGACAUCAAGACUAGGUUAGAGGAUCUGCAGUCGGUGAAUCUGAAGACCAAUGAAGAGCUGAUAGACCAUGAGAUCAAGCUGUCGUUUGUGAGUGGGGAUAGUGAGGAGAAGGCUGACGAUGAUGUCGCUAUGAAUGAGGAUCAGGCGGUGCUUGAAGAGGAGAAGAGGGCUAUGGGACAGGUGGCGCUAAACCAAGAGCUCCAAGAGCUCAACCGCGCUAUGGCGAUCAAGGCCUCCGUAGUCCAAGCUAUAAUGGCCAACAACAAGGAGAUGCUUCAGAGCCACGCGGCGCUACGAGAGGACGAGGAGAGGAUGCAGCGGCUGGAGAGGGAGCGGGACGACCUGAUACAGCAGCUCAGUAAUACUAAGAACAAGGACCAAAUCCACGAGGAGCGUCGCUCCAAGGUGUCGAAGCUGGAGCAAGAGAUCUCCGAGCUGAAGAAGAAGUGCCAGCAGCAGGCCUCCAUCAUCCGGACCAAGGAGAAGAAUGAGGCCAAGAUUGCCAGUCUUAAUGCCGAGCUGCAGUCUAUGAAGAGCACUAAGGUGAAAAUAAUCCGUCAAAUGCGCGAAGAGAGCGAGAAGUUCCGCAAGUGGAAGCAGGACAACGAGCGCGCCAUGCUGCGCCUGCGCACGGAGGAGCGCAAGCGCGCCACCGCCAUGGCCAAGAUGGAGUCGCUGCACGCCAAGCAGCAGAACGUGCUCAAGCGCAAGAUGGAGGAGGCCGUGGCCGUUAAUAAGAGACUCAAGGAAGCUUUGGACAAGCAGCGGCACACUCAAGUCAAACGCAACGCGAAGGGCAACCUCAAGGUCAGCGUGGUGCAGCAGUACGUGGAGCAGGAGCUGGAGGUGCACCUCAGCGUGGUGGAGGCCGAGCGCUCGCUGGAGGAGCUCAUGGAGUACCGAGCGUGGAUAACCGAGCAACUGGAGCGCCUGCGCAACAGCACCGACGAAGAGGCCAACCGCAAGAAGAUGCAGGAGCUCGAGGACGACCUGGCGCUGCGCAAGGCGCAGAUCUCCGACCUGCAGCAGAAGAUCAUCACCGCUGAUCAGGAAAACAAAAGCCGCACGCAAUGGGACAACAUCCAAUCGAUGCUGGAAGCUAAAGUCGCAUUGAAGUGUAUGUUCGAGCUAUUGGUGGACGCCAAGCGGGAACUGGCCAAUCAGAGCGAGAAGGGCUACCAGGCCAAGUACGAAGAGAUCAAGGAGGCCCACGAUAGGCUAGCGCUCGACUUUGAAAACUGCAAGUCGGAAUUCGAACGCCAGUUGACUACGGUGAAGGUGCAGAGUGAACAGAAGUUGACGGCGCUAGUGGCGCUGCAACGCGGCAUGAUCCGCAGCGGCGACCGCGCCGAGGCGUGCAAGCACCUGCAGAACGUCAUCCAGUACCAGCAGGAGAGAUUAGAGCAGGUCGAGGAGGAAAACAAAAAGCUAGCCCAAGAGCUGGAAGAAGUGAAGUCCUCAUCCAAGACCAACAAGAAGCGCGGCAAGAAGACCACCGCGACGGAGGCCGUGAAGAGGAUGGAGUACAUCGAGCCCACCGACGAAGAGGAGGAUGACUUCGAGGACUCAGAUAAUGAUCCCGAUUGGAGGGCCACGCCCGUGUUCAAGAGGAUACAGGCGCAGCGCUCCCGGCUCACAAUGGACUUCUCCAUGGCAGAGCAGUCCAAGAAGCCAACAAAGCGCGGCAGCGACGGCUCCCCGUACUGCGUGUGUCGAGGCUCGUGCUCCACCAACAUAUGCGGCUGUGUGAAGAGCGAUAGGGGGUGUGGGGGCAGCUGCAAGUGUCAGCAAGAGCUGUGCAAGAAUAGGAGGCUGUCUAGUGACACGGAUGAUAAGGAGAAUCAGCCUUCCAGCGGCGAGUCUGUCAUGAACGCGACGCCGUCGUAUUUCGACAAACGGUUAUCGCCUGAUAAAAGUUUUUUCUCUAUAAUUUACGGGGAGAAUUUAUAAGUGGACCUGAAAAACUCGUUUUAAUGUUUCCGGAUGGUGUAUUUCCGCUUAACAAUGGAAGUUGGGCUUUAUUCAUUUUCAUGAACAUGGCCAACUUGAUUCCACAUAUGUUAAGAAGAAGAAACACUAUUUCUUCCCCCAGGAAUAAGAAAGCACCCGAACGAUAAAGACUGAAUGAAGGAACCAAGGGACCACUGACAAGACACCGAAAUGAACAAAUUAUAUUUUAAUCAUACUCCUAUUUAGGUUAUAUUUUACGUUCGCAAAACCUUAUUUACGUUUGCCUCUAUCGAAUAUAUCCUAUAUGUAUUAGUUAUCGUUAGUUUUUUCUUUGUCGUAUAUAGGUACUAAAUUAAGUUUUUUAUUCAUUGACGGUUUUAUUAGAUUAUGUUUUUAUGCACUUUGACUUGUAUGCAACGGGUGCGUGGGCCUGCUCGUUAUAAUUAUGUGAUACUGUUUAAAUUGUUGAGUAGAUCUCUGAUUAAAUUAGUAUUUAUUUUUA